CCCGACACGGUGUAGUGGCUAACACUAUCGCCUUCCAUACGAUUCCUACAAGAAUUCAUUGGAGCGCGAUAGCCCGGGGUUCGAUUCCCCGUAUCGAAA